GUGUCAGCCGCCGCGGUAAGACAGAGGGGGCAAGCGUUGCUCGGAAUCACUGGGCGUAAAGGGCGCGUAGGCGGGUCGGGAAGUCGGUCGUGAAAUCCGCGGGCUCAACCCGCGGGGGUCGGCCGAGACUUCCGGUCUUGAGGGGGGCAGAGGAGCCUGGAAUUCCCGGUGUAGCGGUGAAAUGUGUAGAGAUCGGGAGGAACACCGGUGGCGAAGGCGGGGCUCUGGGCCCACCCUGACGCUGAGGCGCGAAAGCGUGGGGAGCAAACGGGAUUAGAAACCCUCGUAGUCC
rnacentral:rRNA from 1 species